rnacentral:rRNA from 1 species
UACGUAGGGUGCAAGCGUUAAUCGGAAUUACUGGGCGUAAAGCGUGCGCAGGCGGUCUUGCAAGACAGAUGUGAAAUCCCCGGGCUUAACCUGGGAACUGCAUUUGUGACUGCAAGGCUGGAGUACGGCAGAGGGGGAUGGAAUUCCGCGUGUAGCAGUGAAAUGCGUAGAUAUGCGGAGGAACACCGAUGGCGAAGGCAAUCCCCUGGGCCUGUACUGACGCUCAUGCACGAAAGCGUGGGAAGCAAACAGG